rnacentral:rRNA from 1 species
UACGUAGGGCGCAAGCGUUGUCCGGAAUUAUUGGGCGUAAAGAGCUCGUAGGUGGUUUGUUACGUCUGCUGUGAAAACCUAGGGCUUAACCCUGGGCCUGCAGUGGAUACGGGCAGACUAGAGGUAGGUAGGGGAGAAUGGAAUUCCCGGUGUAGCGGUGAAAUGCGCAGAUAUCGGGAGGAACACCGGUGGCGAAGGCAGGUCUCUGGGACACUACUGACGCUGAGAAGCGAAAGCAUGGGGAGCGAACAGG